GUUAUACUGUGAUGAAUAAUGGAAUAAUUUCACAUGUCAGACUUCAGAGGUUUUAACCUAUGAGAUUAAAAUCCUUAAUUCUGAGUAGAAA